UCUGGUUGAUCCUGCCAGUAGUCAUAUGCUUGUCUCAAAGACUAAGCCAUGCAUGUCUAAGUCCAAGCUGUGUUUACACGGCGAGACCGCGGACGGCUCAUUAAAUCAGUCGUUGUCCAAAUGGGCCAGUCCUUAUUACUUGGAUAACUGUGGUAAUUCCAGAGCUAAUACAUGCAACUGUUAACCCCGAAGGCGGGAGCUUGUCUUUCGCUUGACGGGUGCUUUUAUUAGACCAAACCGCUGGGAGAGGCUUUACUGUCUCUCGUCUCGCAGUGUGGUGACUCUGGAUAACCAAUUUUGACAAGCGCACGUACCUCUUCUGGGGACGGCGCUGCCACUUUCGAGUGUCUGCCUUAUCAGCUGUCAACCGUUCGUUACACGCGACCGAUGGCUUUGACGGGUAACGGGGAAUCAGGGUUCGAUUCCGGAGAGGCAGCCUGAGAGACGGCUACCACGUCCAAGGACGGCAGCAGGCACGCAAAUUACCCAAUCCCAGCACCUGGGGGAGGUAGUGACGAAACCUAACGAUGCGGGCGCCCUUUACGGGCCCCGCAAUCGGAAUGAGCACUUUCUAAACAACCUGUUGAGAACCUACUGAAGGGCAAGUCUGGUGCCAGCAGCCGCGGUAAUUCCAGCUUCAGUAGCAUCUAUUAAAGUUGCUGCGGUUAAAAGGCUCGCAGUUGAAUGUCAGUGCCGGCUGUUGGUAGGUGGACGUUGGAGCGGCAGCAUCGGUGCAAGCCAGCUGUUCUGCUCCCGUCCGUUACAAGCCUCCGCGGCCAGGUACACAGUGGCGCCUAGCGGAGACUCGCCUUCACGGGCGGUGUCUCUCUGGUGCCAACGUCACCCUGAGUAAAUCAGAGUGCUUAAAGCAGUCGUAAUGGGCGCAAGCCCUUUGAACACAGUCGCCCCUCACGGGUGUGACACGGACAGACUUGGUUUUGCAUGGCAUGUCGGAAUACGACGUCGGGCGCUGGCUCAGAGAUCUUCUCAGUGGUAUAAGCCAGCCCCGACGUACUGAUUAAAAGGGCUUGUCGAGGGCAUUGGUAUUGCGGAGCGAGAGGUGAAAUUCUAUGACCUCCGCAAGACCUCCCGAAGCGAAAGCGUCUGCCAAGGAUGUUUUCAUUAAUCAUGAACGAAAGUUAGAGGAUCGAAGGCGAUCAGAUACCGCCCUAGUUCUAACCCUAAACGAUGCCAACCAUCAAUCCGCGCGCAGCACCCUCUUUGCGGGCUCGGCGGGCAGCUCUCUAUCACGGGAAACCAGAGUCUCUGGGUUCCGGGGGGAGUCUGGUUGCAAAGCUGAAACUUAAAGGAAUUGACGGAAAGGCACCACCAGGCGUGGAGCCUGCGGCUUAAUUUGACUCAACACGGGCAAUCUCACCAGGCCAGCACUCUAGCAUGAUUGACAGAUUGAGAGCUCUUUCUCGAUUCAGUGGAUGGUGGUGCAUGGCCGUUCUUAGUUGGUGGAGUGAUCUGUCUGGUUAAUUCCGAUAACGAACGAGACUCUCCCCUGCUAACUAGUCGGUUGGAUCUUGAUCUGCGAGUGUGUGCCCUGUGGGAGCUCGGCGGUGGUGCGAGCGUGGUGUCUCUGCCUGUGCUUCACUGUGCAGUGUGGGGCCCGCCUUGUGCCCUGUCGUCUCUCGCUGGUAACGCGCACUCCAAGUCUGCCGCUUGUCUUAGAGAAUAUUCUUCUUAGAGGGAUCCACGGCUCUGAAGCCGUCAGAGACUGAGAGCAAUAACAGGUCUGUGAUGCCCUUAGAUGCUCUGGGCCGCACGCGCGCUACAAUGCCGGGCACAGCAGGUGUUUCUUCCUGCUCCGAGAGGAGCGGGCAACCCUCUGAAAGCCCCAAAAUUGACUUGCGCUGCCUUCACGGGCACGCAGGAGCGGCGUGCUUGGGCCUGGGGCUUGCAAUUAUUCCCCACAAACGAGGAAUGCCUAGUAGCGGUGGGUCACUGAGCCCGCCGUGACUGAGUCCCUGCCCUUUGUACACACCGCCCGUCGCUACUACCGAUUGGGUGUACCAGUGAGAGCCUUGGACUGGCGGCCGUUGCUUUCCUUCAUGGUAGCAAACGGACUCGACUGAAAGAGGUCCGAACUGGUGCACUUAGAGGAAGUAAAAGUCGUAACAAGGUUUCCGUAGGUGAACCUGCGGAAGGAUCAUUA
rnacentral:rRNA from 1 species